rnacentral:rRNA from 1 species
CGGUUAUACGAGAGGCCCCAGUUGACGGUGGUACGGCGUAAAGGGUGGUUAAGGACAACAAUUAAUAAAGCUGAAUAGCCCCCCAGCCGUCAUACGCUUCUGGGCGCUAGAAACCCAACAUGCGAAAGUGGCUUUAAUAGCCUCGCCUGAACCCACGAAAGCUGAGAAACAAACUGGGAUUAGAUACCCCACUAUGCUCAGCUGUAAACCUAGACAUUUAAAUACAGCCACAUGUCCGCCAGGGUACUACGAGCAUUAGCUUAAAACCCAAAUGGACUGACGGUGCCUCAGACCCCCCUAGAGGAGCCUGUUCUAGAACCGAUAAUCCCCGUUAAACCUCACCACUUCUGGCCAUCCCAGCCUAUAUACCGCCGUCGCCAGCUUACCCUGUGAAGGUAAUAAGAGUAAGCAAAAUGGACAAAAUCCAAAACGUCAGGUCGAGGUGUAGCGCACGGAGUGGGAAGAAAUGGGCUACAUUUUCUUAAGCAGAAUACUACGGACGCGCAACAUGAAAUAGUGCCUGAAGGAGGAUUUAGUAGUAAAAAGGAAAAAGAGUGUCCUUUUGAACCCGGCUCUGAGACGCGUACACACCGCCCGUCACUCUCCCCUGUCGAAAUGCAAUAUAGAUAACUAAUGCCAACGCACUGACAAGGGGAGGCAAGUCGUAACAUGGUAAGUGUACCGGAAGGUGCACUUGG